CCUACGGGAGGCAGCAGUGAGGAAUAUUGGUCAAUGGACGGAAGUCUGAACCAGCCAUGCCGCGUGCAGGAAGACGGCUCUAUGAGUUGUAAACUGCUUUUGUACAAGGGUAAACCUGAAUACGUGUAUUCAGCUGAAAGUACUGUACGAAUAAGGAUCGGCUAACGCCGUGCCAGCAGCCGCGGUAAUACGGAGGAUCCAAGCGUUAUCCGGAUUUAUUGGGUUUAAAGGGUGCGUAGGCGGAUUGAUAAGUCAGAGGUGAAAUGUCCGGGCUUAACUCGGGAACUGCCUUUAAUACUGUGGAGCUAGAGAGUAGAUGCGGUAGGCGGAAUGUAUGGUGUAGCGGUGAAAUGCUUAGAGAUCAUACAGAACACCGAUUGCGAAGGCAGCUGACCAAUCUAUGUCUGACGUUGAGGCACGAAAGCGUGGGGAGCAAACAGGAUUAGAUACCCGUGUAGUC
rnacentral:rRNA from 1 species